GAUGAACGCUGGCGGCGUGCCUAAUACAUGCAAGUCGAGCGAACAGACGAGGAGCUUGCUCCUCUGACGUUAGCGGCGGACGGGUGAGUAACACGUGGAUAACCUACCUAUAAGACUGGGAUAACUUCGGGAAACCGGCGCUAAUACCGGAUAAUAUAUUGAACCGCAUGGUUCAAUAGUGAAAGACGGUUUUGCUGUCACUUAUAGAUGGAUCCGCGCCGCAUUAGCUAGUUGGUAAGGUAACGGCUUACCAAGGCAACGAUGCGUAGCCGACCUGAGAGGGGGAUCGGCCACACGGGAACUGAGACACGGUCCAGACGCCUACGGGAGGCAGCAGUAGGGAAUCUGCCGCAAUGGGCGAAAGCCUGACGGAGCAACGGCGCGUGAGUGAUGAAGGUCUUCGGAGCGUAAAACUCUGUUAUUAGGGAAGAACAAAUGUGUAAGUAACUAUGCACGUCUUGACGGUACCGAAUCAGAAAGCCACGGCUAACUACGUG
rnacentral:rRNA from 1 species